rnacentral:rRNA from 1 species
GAAAGCUGGCGUCUUCGGCGUCCGCAUUGUAAUCUCAAGAAGUGUUUUCCGCUUCGGACCAUGCCUAAGUCCCUUGGAAAAGGGCAUCAUAGAGGGUGAUAAUCCCGUACAUGGCAUGGAGCGCCCGAGGCUUUGUGAUACGCUUUCUAAGAGUCGAGUUGUUUGGGAAUGCAGCUCAAAAUGGGUGGUAAAUGCCAUCUAAGGCUAAAUAUUGGGGAGAGACCGAUAGCGAACAAGUACAGUGAUGGAAAGAUGAAAAGAACUUUGAAAAGAGAGUUAAACAGUACGUGAAAUUGCCAAAAGGGAAGGGUAGGAGGUCAGAGAUGCGUCUUGGGAUUCAGCCUUGCUUUUGCUUGGUGUUUUUCCCAAGUUGCAGGCCAACGUCGGUUUUGGGCACUGGAGAAGGGUGGAAGGAACGUGGCACCUCUCGGGGUGUGUUAUAGCCUUCUACUGGAUACAGCGACCGAGACCGAGGACAGCAGCGUACUCGCAAGAGCGGGCCUUCGGGCACCUUUACGCUUAGGGCGUUGGCAUAAUGGC